UACGUAGGGGGCUAGCGUUAUCCGGAAUUACUGGGCGUAAAAGGGUGCGUAGGUGGUUUCUUAAGUCAGAGGUGAAAGGCUACGGCUCAACCGUAGUAAGCCUUUGAAACUGGGAAACUUGAGUGCAGGAGAGGAGAGUGGAAUUCCUAGUGUAGCGGUGAAAUGCGUAGAUAUUAGGAGGAACACCAGUUGCGAAGGCGGCUCCCUGGACUGUAACUGACACUGAGGCACGAAAGCGUGGGGAGCAAACAGGAUUAGAUACCCUGGUAGUCCCUGAGCGGG
rnacentral:rRNA from 1 species